UAGCCGUAAACGAUACUCGCUAGGUGUCGGCCACGGUGCGACCGUUGUCGGUGCCGUAGGGAAGCCGUGAAGCGAGCCACCUGGGAAGUACGGCCGCAAGGCUGAAACUUAAAGGAAUUGGCGGGGGAGCACCACAACGGGUGGAGCUUGCGGUUUAAUUGGAUUCAACGCCGGAAAUCUUACCGGGACCGACAGCAACAUGAAGGCCAGGCUGAAGACUUUGCCGGAUUAGCUGAGAGGAGGUGCAUGGCGUAGUCGGUGU
rnacentral:rRNA from 1 species